AGUUUUGCUGCUUUGCAUCCCGC
rnacentral:miRNA from 1 species